GGGCCCGCACAAGCGGUGGAGUAUGUGGUUUAAUUCGAUGCAACGCGAAGAACCUUACCAGGGUUUGACAUCCUGCGAAUCUCUUGGAAACAGGAGAGUGCCUUCGGGGAACGCAGUGACAGGUGGUGCAUGGCUGUCGUCAGCUCGUGUUGUAAAAUGUUGGGUUAAUUCACAUAACGAGCGUAACCCUUACUCUUUAUUAUUAUAGUUGAAGAGAACGAAUAGUUCGGAAUUAAGUUAGGGGAAGAAGCGGGACGACGGCAAGUCAGUAUGCCCUCUUUUUUCUGGGCAACACACGUGCUACAGGAGUUGAGAUAGUAGAAAAUAAUUUUAGCGAGAAGAAGAGUUGAUUAGAAAACUUAACUGAAGUUCAAACUUAUUUCUGGAAUUUGUAACAAUGAAGAAGGAAUCGCUAGUAAUCG
rnacentral:rRNA from 1 species